rnacentral:rRNA from 1 species
UACGAAGGGGGCUAGCGUUGUUCGGAAUUACUGGGCGUAAAGGGCGCGUAGGCUGUGCUGUAAGUCAGGCGUGAAAGGCCCGGGCUCAACCUGGGAAUGGCGCAUGAUACUACGGCGCUGGAAGGCGGGAGAGGAUGGCGGAAUUCCCAGUGUAGAGGUGAAAUUCGUAGAUAUUGGGAAGAACACCGGUGGCGAAGGCGACUACCUGGCCUGUUCUUGACGCUGAGGCGCGAAAGCUAGGGGAGCAAACGGG